rnacentral:rRNA from 1 species
UACGUAGGGUGCGAGCGUUGUCCGGAAUUAUUGGGCGUAAAGAGCUCGUAGGCGGCUUGUCGCGUCGGAUGUGAAAGCCCGGGGCUUAACUCCGGGUCUGCAUUCGAUACGGGCAGGCUAGAGUUCGGUAGGGGAGAUCGGAAUUCCUGGUGUAGCGGUGAAAUGCGCAGAUAUCAGGAGGAACACCGGUGGCGAAAGCGGCUCUCUGGAACGGUACUGACGCUGAGACGCGAAAGCGUGGGGAGCGAACAGG